CGAAAGUCUGACGGAGCAACGCCGCGUGAGUGAUGACGGCCUUCGGGUUGUAAAGCUCUGUUAAUCGGGACGAAAGGCCUUCUUGCGAACAGUUAGAAGGAUUGACGGUACCGGAAUAGAAAGCCACGGCUAACUACGUGCCAGCAGCCGCGGUAAUACGUAGGUGGCAAGCGUUGUCCGGAAUUAUUGGGCGUAAAGCGCGCGCAGGCGGAUCAGUCAGUCUGUCUUAAAAGUUCGGGGCUUAACCCCGUGAUGGGAUGGAAACUGCUGAUCUAGAGUAUCGGAGAGGAAAGUGGAAUUCCUAGUGUAGCGGUGAAAUGCGUAGAUAUUAGGAAGAACACCAGUGGCGAAGGCGACUUUCCUGGACGAAAACUGACGCUGAGGCGCGAAAGCCAAGGGGGAGCGAACGGGAUUAGAUACCCCGGUAGUCCUGGCCGUAAACGAUGGGUACUAGGUGUAGGAGGUAUCGACCCCUUCUGUGCCGGAGUUAACGCAAUAAGUACCCCGCCUGGGGGAGUACGACCGCAAGGGUUGAAACUCAAAGGAAUUGACGGGG
rnacentral:rRNA from 1 species